UACGGAGGGUGCAAGCGUUGUCCGGAAUCACUGGGCGUAAAGGGCGCGUAGGCGGCUCAUGAAGGCUGUGGUGAAAGUCCGGGGCUCAACCUCGGAUCGGCCGUGGCGACUCGUGGGCUGGAGCACUGUAGAGGCAGGUGGAACUCCGGGUGUAGCGGUGGAAUGCGUAGAGAUCCGGAAGAACACCAGUGGCGAAGGCGGCCUGCUGGGCAGUGGCUGACGCUGAGGCGCGACAGCGUGGGGAGCAAACAGG
rnacentral:rRNA from 1 species